rnacentral:lncRNA from 1 species
CUGGCAGUUUCCACCCAGCUAUGUGCAGACAUUUAACCUAAUGAACAGAAAUUGCUCCAUUGGGACUACUCCUCUAUUCGAAAUUGUUUGAAGGCAGCAGCAAGAUGAAAGAAACUUUUAUUCAUUUUGCAAAAUAAAAGAACAAAGAUCUCUUCUGCACCAUUAAUUUUUUUCACUCCAUAAAUGUUGAAUUGUCCCAUCACCUUGCUGGUAGGAGACCUUCUACUAUCAUCAUACCUGCAUCAUUGGCUGAGACUUGUCUGAAAUGCCUUCACUGUUUCUGCAGAGGAAACCUGGAAGAAGGAGAUACAGAUCUUAGCUCUUUUACCUUCUGCUUCAGUUUGUGCCUGACCAUCUGUGAGUAAGGUACUCACGGGUCUCCAUGCUUAAUUAACCCUUUCACCCUUCUUCUGUGUCUUUCCAUUAGCUCCAUCUUUGCUAUGUUGCAAUGAAAGGUACCUCUCUGGGGCAUGGAAAGAUAAAUAUCUGAAUAUCUGCCUAUCAAUGCUCAAACCACCAAAGUCAUUCUAGGCUUGAGCAUUUUUCCAGUUUAUGCAUAACAUUAGGGAAUGGUCUUCAUUUUAAGACAAAGCUGGCAAAGGAAGGGCAUGAUCUCAAGAGCUUUUUAAAUACCACUGUUGACUGAAAGCUAUUAGGUCAUGCUACUGAGUGGCUACCACCACCAUUAACAAGAAAUGGAG